UACGAAGGGGGCUAGCGUUGCUCGGAAUCACUGGGCGUAAAGCGCACGUAGGCGGAUCUUUAAGUCAGGGGUGAAAUCCCGAGGCUCAACCUCGGAACUGCCCUUGAUACUGGGGAUCUCGAGUCCGGAAGAGGUUGGUGGAACUCCGAGUGUAGAGGUGAAAUUCGUAGAUAUUCGGAAGAACACCAGUGGCGAAGGCGGCCAACUGGUCCGGCAUUGACGCUGAGGCGCGAAAGCUAGGGGAGCAAACGGG
rnacentral:rRNA from 1 species